rnacentral:rRNA from 1 species
UACGGAGGGUGCAAGCGUUGUUCGGAUUUAUUGGGCGUAAAGCGCGUGUAGGCGGUCUCUUAAGUCUGAUGUGAAAGCCCUGGGCUCAACCCAGGAAGUGCAUUGGAUACUGGGGGACUUGAAUACGGGAGAGGGUAGUGGAAUUCCUAGUGUAGGAGUGAAAUCCGUAGAUAUUAGGAGGAACACCGGUGGCGAAGGCGGCUACCUGGACCGAUAUUGACGCUGAGACGCGAAAGCGUGGGGAUCAAACAGG